rnacentral:rRNA from 1 species
GUAAGGAAUAUUGGUCAAUGGACGAAAGUCUGAACCAGCCAUGCCGCGUGGAGGAUGAAGGUCCUCUGGAUUGUAAACUUCUUUUAUAUGGGACGAAAAAAGGCUUUUCUAAGUCGUCUGACGGUACCAUAUGAAUAAGCACCGGCUAACUCCGUGCCAGCAGCCGCGGUAAUACGGAGGGUGCAAGCGUUAUCCGGAUUCACUGGGUUUAAAGGGUGCGUAGGUUGAUUGCCAAGUCCGUGGUGAAAUCUUCGAGCUUAACUCGGAAACUGCCAUGGAUACUGGUGAUCUUGAAUAUCGUGGAGGUUAGCGGAAUAUGUCAUGUAGCGGUGAAAUGCUUAGAUAUGACAUAGAACACCAAUUGCGAAGGCAGCUGGCUACGCGAAUAUUGACACUCAGGCACGAAAGCGUGGGGAUCAAACAGGAUUAGAUACCCUGGUAGUCC